rnacentral:lncRNA from 1 species
AAUUUUUCCAAACCCAUAUUAAAUAUGGAGAUUAAUCUCAACUCAGAUUUUAAAAAACCCAAAAAUCUACAAACCCAUAUCGAAAAACCUUCGUACAUCUCCCAAUUGAUGACCACAACCCAGAUUUCGAAAGGAAAAAAAAUCCACGACAGUGGAUACCUUAUAGAAAUAGAAAUCUCGCAAGCUUAGUUGGAAAUGGUGGGUCAUCUUUUCAUCUCGAUAGAGUGGGUCUUCUCUUAG